UCUAAAAUUCCUCUCAAUCGACUUUUAUUUCAUUCGGUGUUUCUCAAACGUCGCCGUCUAAGCUGUUAAAAAGUCUAUGAACUUUCGAUUGAUUCCACUACGAUUUAGGGAGUCUUCAAAGCAAUACUGUCUGUCUAGGCUAAGAUAGACGAAAUUGGCAAAAGGAGAUCAGACACUCAUAUGUGGUUUUUCCAUUUUUUGUUAUCCCUUUGUCUUAUAAAUUGAUUUUUUUUUUGUUUAAGAUGUGUGUACCUUAAAAUUUAUAGUCAACAUACAACUGUAAGAUCAUCUAUUAAAAAGCCUUUGAAUACAUUCUAUUAUAUUGGUUUAUCAAUUUUUGUGGAUUAUUGUAAAAAUAAUAUUUUUGAGGCAGGAAAGUAUUUUCUUUGAGGAGUUUGUUUUGGAGAAUUUGAGAUGUAGCAAAGAAGGUCUCACCACUGAAGAAAGAUUAUCCAUUUUUGGCCAUAAAGAAAAAAAGCUUCAUUCUGAUACGAAAUUAAAGAUUUUUUAUGUCAAUCCCUGGUAAAUGCUUUCUAUUUCAUUGAUGUUUUGUGACAAAUUUGUUAUCAUGUCAAUUUGGGUCAUCUAAAAUUUGUCAGCGGGUCAAAACUAACACGUACUAUACAUUCCAACCACCACGCACCCGCCGCCAUUCUGCCUCCCACUGUAUUGACCAGAACCGAAAUAAUGAUAGUUUUUGAAAUUACUCAUUUUGCUCCCAAUCCAAACCCAUUUUGACCUGAACAUAUCCUGGCCCGUGACCCCAACCCGCCCGACACACCCAAUUCUCCAGUCAUCAUUUGGAGUAUCCUCAUUGCUUUUUCUGUGGAUUUGGAAUUAUUGAAGAGUAGACGUGUUUGUUUGGAGACAUUUUCAGUUUUGAAUUAUCUUUUGUUUUAUUUUCUUAAAUUCCAUUAUAUUUAAUGUUUGGAGAGAACUGUUAUAAAAUAUGUUGAUUCAACAAAACAUGCUUGG
rnacentral:lncRNA from 1 species